rnacentral:rRNA from 1 species
CCUACGGGGGGCUGCAGUGGGGAAUAUUGGACAAUGGGCGAAAGCCUGAUCCAGCCAUGCCGCGUGUGUGAAGAAGGCCUUCGGGUUGUAAAGCACUUUCAGUGGGGAAGAAAGCCUUGGGGCUAAUACCCUCGAGGAAGGACAUCACCCACAGAAGAAGCACCGGCUAACUCCGUGCCAGCAGCCGCGGUAAUACGGAGGGUGCGAGCGUUAAUCGGAAUUACUGGGCGUAAAGCGCGCGUAGGCGGUCUGAUAAGCCGGUUGUGAAAGCCCCGGGCUCAACCUGGGAACGGCAUCCGGAACUGUCAGGCUAGAGUGCAGGAGAGGAAGGUAGAAUUCCCGGUGUAGCGGUGAAAUGCGUAGAGAUCGGGAGGAAUACCAGUGGCGAAGGCGGCCUUCUGGACUGACACUGACGCUGAGGUGCGAAAGCGUGGGUAGCAAACAGGAUUAGAUACCUUGUAGU